rnacentral:tRNA from 1 species
AUUAAGAUGGCAGAUCAGUGCAAAGGAUUUAAGCUUCUUUUAGAGAAAUAAAAUAUUAUAUUUCUUCUUAAUA